rnacentral:rRNA from 1 species
GAGAGAGAGACAUGCGCGCAUAUCAAUAAGCGGAGGAAAAGAAACUAACAAGGAUUCCCCUAGUAACGGCGAGUGAAGCGGGAAGAGCUCAAAUUUGAAAUCUUAAAGGGUUUCCCUUUACGAAUUGUAGUUUAAAGAAGUGUUUUCUGUUGGAGUUUCGGUAAAAGUUCUUUGGAAUAGGACAUCAUAGAGGGUGAGAAUCCCGUAUUUGACCGUUACUUUCCAGCUGUGUGAUACACUUUCAAAGAGUCGGAUUGUUUGGGAAUGCAGUCCAAGAUGGGUGGUAAAUUUCAUCUAAAGCUAAAUACUGGCGAGAGACCGAUAGCGAACAAGUACCGUGAGGGAAAGAUGAGAAGAACUUUCGAAAAGAGAGUUAAACAGUACGUGAAAUUGUCAAAAGGGAAGCGUUUGACACCAGUGUUGUUUUCUCGAAAAUCAAUUACAAAUGGUUUGAUUUUGAGGAGUUAUGACUUCAUCGGCUUGCUCCUUUCUUUAUGAAACUUUCUUAAUGCACUUUUCGGUUAACAAGUCAACAUCAAUUUCUUUUGUUGUAAAAGGGUAUGAGGAAGGUGGCUUUCUUUUCGGAGAAAGUGUUUAUAGCCUUGUGCCUCUGCAAUCGGAGAGAUUGAGGUCUGCAGCGUAGAUCCUUCGGGGUUAGAUACAUUUGUGCUAAGUUAUAGCUUUUCAUAGACAACUUGUUGACUAUGUCUAGUCUUGUAGCUUACUCGCUUACUGCUAUUUUACCUACGCUUAGGAUGUUGAUAGUCACAGCGUGUAC